CUGGGAGUGUACUGCUGGCUGGGUGGAGUCUGAUGGAUUAUCUUAGUUACUUUGGGUUGGGAGCCCGGUUUUCUUCUUUCUCAGUAGACUUAGCCUUGCUGUGUACCUGUCGGGCUUAUGGGGGUCCGUUCAGGUUUUAUUUAAACUUGCGCACGAGUGUACCUUCUGGGCUUAUGGGGUCCAGUUAGGUUUAGUUUAGUUGUACUUAGUUUGUUUCUGGUAUGCUCGUGUGCUUUCUUUUCUUAUCCGCUUUGACCUCUCUGUGUCUAGAUUCUAUCCUUUCUUAUUGUUUUUACCCUUUUUGCUCAGUCGGCCUAUGAUGCCUACUGAGUACCUGUUGUGUUGGUACUCAUGCUACGCUCUGCAUCUAUUUCGUGAUGCAGGUCCCAGUACCAGUUACCAGCGGUGAUUAGUUCCAGCCUUCUUUUGCAGUUGUGAUUCGGAGACGAGGGUGAGCACUUAGUGUUUUGGGGUUUGUUCUGUCUCCUUGUUUUGUUUUAGCUAGUCUUGUUGCCUUUGAGACACGCUCUGUUGUGGUCCACUUUUGGGACUUGUACUCUUUAUUAGAUAGCUCUGUACUAGUGACUUCCAGGUUCUGAGAGGGAUUUCUGUAUAUAUUUAUUUUGGGUUGCUUCCGCCUUGUUAUCCUUGUUUAGAUUAUU
rnacentral:lncRNA from 1 species